GGGAAUUGCAGUCCGGUCGCAUUUCUCCUUCUUACCAGCGCGUUUUCAGUUUCAUGGGGAAGCCUUUCCAUGAAACUGGAGCGCCUGGAGGAGAAGGGGCCCAGAGCUAG